GAUGAACGCUGGCGGCGUGCCUAAUACAUGCAAGUCGAGCGAACAGACGAGGAGCUUGCUCCUCUGACGUUAGCGGCGGACGGGUGAGUAACACGUGGAUAACCUACCUAAGACUGAGAUAACUUCGGGAAACCGGAGCUAAUACCGGAUAAUAUAUUGAACCGCAUGGUUCAAUAGUGAAAGACGGUUUUGUUGUCACUUAUAGAUGGAUCCGCGCCGCAUUAGCUAGUUGGUAAGGUAACGGCUUACCAAGGCGACGAUGCGUAGCCGACCUGAGAGGGUGAUCGGCCACACUGGAACUGAGACACGGUCCAGACUCCUACGGGAGGCAGCAGUAGGGAAUCUUCCGCAAUGGGCGAAAGCCUGACGGAGCAACGCCGCGUGAGUGAUGAAGGUCUUCGGAUCGUAAAACUCUGUUAUUAGGGAAGAACAAAUGUGUAAGUAACUAUGCACGUCUUGACGGUACCUAAUCAGAAAGCCACGGCUAACUACGUG
rnacentral:rRNA from 1 species